rnacentral:rRNA from 1 species
AACGAACGCUGGCGGCAUGCCUAACACAUGCAAGUCGAACGAGACCUUCGGGUCUAGUGGCGCACGGGUGCGUAACGCGUGGGAACCUGCCCUUAGGUUCGGAAUAACUCCCCGAAAGGGGUGCUAAUACCGGAUAAUGUCUUCGGACCAAAGAUUUAUCGCCUUUGGAUGGGCCCGCGUUGGAUUAGCUAGUUGGUAGGGUAAAAGCCUACCAAGGCGACGAUCCAUAGCUGGUCUGAGAGGAUGAUCAGCCACACUGGGACUGAGACACGGCCCAGACUCCUACGGGAGGCAGCAGUGGGGAAUAUUGCGCAAUGGGCGAAAGCCUGAUGCAGCAAUGCCGCGUGAGUGAUGAAGGCCUUAGGGUUGUAAAGCUCUUUUACCCGGGAUGAUAAUGACGGUACCGGGAGAAGAAGCCCCGGCUAACUCCGUG